rnacentral:misc_RNA from 1 species
AAUUCCCACCUCCCAGCGCCGCUGCCGCUGCCACCGCCACUACGGCGCCAAACAUGACUGCUGCCGGAACCCCAGCCUCCCCUUCUCCAAAUCAUACACAAUAUAGUAAUUCUGCUGCUGAAAGCUCCCAAUUAUCACCGCCGGCCCGCCGCCCGCUCCGUCAUCCGACACCACCGCCAAACAAGCCGUCCUCCGCGACCGCCCCGCAAAUGCAAAGUAAUUCUCCACCGGCAGCCGCAUCGACGCUCCGCCCUUAAAGUGCAGCACCAAUUCCGGCAUACUAAUCUCUUCCGCCUCAUCCGGCAGCACGAAGCACGGCUUUAA